UAAUACCACCCACCCUUACCAACCCAUAAUCCCUAUUAGAUAAUUCCGUGUAUCAUGGAAGAUAUUAUGCUUGAACUAGUAACAAGAAUUUGUAAUUCUCCUAAAUGUAAGUAUAAGCCACAAUAGACCAACUACCGGCAAUUAACACCAAUAAACCUAUUACAGCAACCCUCAAGAAAACCCUGUAAAAUUAAACGUUAACCUUACACAAGAACAUUUCAGGAAAGAUUAAAAGGAAGAGAAGGAACUCGGCAAUUAAUAACCCCGCCUGUUUACCAAAAACAUCGCCUCUUGCUUUAAUAUAAGAGGUCCAGCCUGCCCAGUGAUUCUUCAACGGCCACGGUAUCCUAACCGUGCUAAGGUAGCGCAAUUACUUGUCCCUUAAAUGGGGACCCGAAUGAAUGGCACCACGAGGGUUAUACUGUCUCCUCCCCCCAAUCAGUGAAACUGACCUCCCUGUGAAAAGGCAGGGAUAAAAAUACUAGACGAGAAGACCCCAUGGAGCUUUAGACUCUAAGCAAGUUAGAUUAAAUCCUAAAAAUCCAAAACCUAUGCCUCCGAGUCUUUGGCUGGGGCGACCAUGGAGAAAGAACAAACCUCCACGCCGAACGGAUAAUGCCUUAUCCACGAACUACACCUCCAAGAAACAGCAUACUGACGACCUCUGAUCCGGAUUCCGAUCAACGAACCAAGUUACCCUGGGGAUAACAGCGCCAUCUACCUUGAGAGUUCAUAUCGACAGGUGGGUUUACGACCUCGAUGUUGGAUCAGGGUAUCCUAGUGGUGCAGCCGCUACAUAAGGUUCGUUUGU
rnacentral:rRNA from 1 species